rnacentral:rRNA from 1 species
UACGUAGGGUGCAAGCGUUGUCCGGAAUUAUUGGGCGUAAAGAGCUCGUAGGCGGUGUGUCGCGUCGGCCGUGAAAACCUGCAGCUUAACUGUGGGCUUGCGGUCGAUACGGGCAUCACUGGAGUUCGGCAGGGGAGACUGGAAUUCCUGGUGUAGCGGUGAAAUGCGCAGAUAUCAGGAGGAACACCGGUGGCGAAGGCGGGUCUCUGGGCCGAUACUGACGCUGAGACGCGAAAGCGUGGGGAGCAAACAGG